rnacentral:lncRNA from 1 species
AGAUGAGGUUUCCAGCCUUCGCUGCUUCACUCUCCGCUGAAUGCUGCGACCACUCCUGUGGUCCGACUCCUUGCCUGCGACCCUCACCUCAGCUUUCCUGUGAGGCUCAAAUAAAACAAGACCUGAUCUAUAAUACAUUAUUGUAGAGAGGAAAAAAUAAAUAAAAUAAUACCUGACAGCAAAAUGUAAACUGUACAGUAGUAUUCAAAUUGUAGGUCAGGCCAGUUUCAGUGGCUCACACCUGUAAUCCCAACGCUUUGGGAGGUUUGAGGCAGGAGGAUCACUUGAAGCCAGGAGGCCAAGAGCAGCCUGGGCAACAUAGUGAGACCCCAUCUCCACAAAAAAUUAAAAAAUAGACGGAUGUGGUGGUGCAUGCCUGUAGUACCAGCUACUCAGGACGCUGAGGUGGGAGGAUCGCUUGAGCCCAGGAAAUUGAGGCUGCAGUGAGCUAGGACUGUGCCACUGCACUCCAGCCUGGGUGACAGAGUGAGACCCUAUAUUAAAAAAAUGCAGAUUAUGAAUCUUGAAAAGAUACUCUAAUCAUACAUAAAAACUUGUCAAUGAAAGACCACCAUACUCUGUGUGUUAUUAUGCAUUCUGAAAAAAUUUUGUUUCAGAUUUGGGAAUAUCAAAAUCAACACAAAUAAAUAAGUCAACUCACAAAAGUAAAACGCGGUGAUUUUCCAUACAUCAUUCAUGCAAAAAAAAAUAAUAAUAAUUUACUCUUGUACAUUUAAGAAAAAUAAUUGCUUCCAUUAAAUACCCAAAGCUCACUUAAGUGGACUGGAACUCACAGCACUGAAUUCCAAACUAAAAUUGCAUGAAUGAUUUCAAGUUGAAAUCACCUGUGGUCCCCAGCUACUGGGGAGGCUGAGGUGGGAGGAUCUUCUGAACCCAGGAAGUCAAGGCUUGCAGUGAACUGAGAUUGUGUCACUGCACUUCAGCCUGGGUGA